GUGAGGAAUAUUGGUCAAUGGGCGAGAGCCUGAACCAGCCAAGUCGCGUGAAGGAAGAAGGAUCUAUGGUUCGUAAACUUCUUUUGCAGGGGAAUAAAGUGCGGGACGUGUCCUGUUUUGUAUGUACCCUGAGAAUAAGGAUCGGCUAACUCCGUGCCAGCAGCCGCGGUAAUACGGAGGAUCCGAGCGUUAUCCGGAUUUAUUGGGUUUAAAGGGUGCGUAGGUGGUUUGAUAAGUCAGCGGUGAAAGUUUGCAGCUUAACUGUAAAAAUGCCGUUGAAACUGUCGGACUUGAGUGUAAAGGAGGUAGGCGGAAUGCGUGGUGUAGCGGUGAAAUGCAUAGAUAUCACGCAGAACUCCGAUUGCGAAGGCAGCUUACUAAGCUACAACUGACACUGAAGCACGAAAGCGUGGGGAUCAAACAGGAUUAGAAACCCCGGUAGUCC
rnacentral:rRNA from 1 species